rnacentral:tRNA from 1 species
GCCUGGGUGGCUCAGUCGGUUGAGCAUCUGACUUUGGCUCAAAUCCUGACCAUGCAGUUCGUGAGUUCUAACCCCACGUCAGGCU